rnacentral:lncRNA from 1 species
AGAAUUGCAAAAGAACAAAAAGGAGAUACAUCCAUCCAUUCAACCAAGCUAUAUUUCGAUCGAUAAUCGAGAAAUCAGCAAGCACGACUGUACAUAAACGAGAGAUCGAAGCACAACAUUUCUGUCCCAGGUAUGUACUACGAAAUCUUUACUCGUUCGAUGAAUCAGUAAAACAUCGUCUACUAUGAAUCACACAGGAUACAACAACAAUUAUUGAUCUUGCUACAAUUGUAAUCGAUGUAACCAACAAUGAGGAUAUCUGUGCUAACUCAUAACCGAGCCAAAUGAUUACAGACCCAAACUGUGAACAACAUGAAAUUUCAGGAGAAAAAAUGAAUUCAAUUGAACUCUGACACAUACAAAGGCGAAAUAAUACACUAAAGAUCGUAAAAUACUUCACAAUUCCUUCUAUAACUAGUAAUACAAAACAGAGCUACAAUCUGCCUAGUGUGAGGACAGACGGAUAUUUCAGUAUACACGAACCAUACUCCAAUUUACAUUAUCACUCCUCUUGUAUUUCUUGCUAGCAAGUCACAUCCAGGUAAAAGCCAAUUUACUCAAUACCUGAUCCCGGAGCUUGAUUUUUUCAUCAUUAUCUACCCUCUUAACGUAUUAGUGAAUAGGGUGGUAUUGUGUGAUCCCUCGCUUUGGAGGCAACUUUCUCAAAAUAAAAAGGACAAGCGAAGAAGGCAGUAUCUCCACUAACUGCAAAGAGUUUAAAAGGUUUGCUUAGUCUCAAAACAUAUAGAAAAGUAUUACUCCAUUUUCUCCACUUUCUACCCCCAAGUGCAAAGUAAAAAACACCAUGUCUAAGUAUAUACUCAUGAUUUGAAAUUUGGAUCAAACCAAGGUUUAGAUAGGACACGAUCAAAUGAAAUAAUAGGCAUAAUACAUAAGCAGACACUCAAACUUGGCCUCAGCUGGCAAGUAACCACUCCAACUUUGAGUAUGCACACAAGACACCUCAACUCGUCUCCGCUGUGUCAGUUGAACACUCCAACUUACAAAAUGAUCAUCUAGACACCUCCAAAAUUUAUGUGCCACAUUAGGGGUGUCCACAAAAUAUAGUGGGGACGAGUUGGAGUGUUUAGUUGCCAGUUGAGGUGUCUAGAUGUACACUCUCAAAGUUGAAUUGCUUACUUGCCUGUUGAGGCCAAGUUUAAGUGCUGGUUUAUGUAUUAUGCCGAAAUAAUAACCAUGCUUUAAUUUCAGAACAGGAUUCCCACUCCUUGUGUAAUCAAAUAUUUCACCAUAAUCUUAAGAUUUUGAAUCCAAUUUUCAAUUUAUACAAAAUGUCAACAAAGUGAAAGAAACCUGAAUUCAUGGCACAAGUAAGAAACUCCCAUCUCAACUCAAAAGACUAAAUAGAAAAGGAGCCAAACAGAAUUUUGGCUCAUAAAACUGAUUGUAAGGUGCCACAAGCUGACAUAUCAUGUGAAUUAUCCAAUUUAGUCGUGAUUUGGCAAUAAUUAUAUACAUUAUACUGACUGCCAAUACUUCUUUUGAUUAUGGCACAACAACCAAUAUGUUUACCUAAAGAAGUACUAAUAAAAGUUCAGCGAUAUGGAACUCACCAGGUAAUAUAUCAAAUUCAAAAUCGGAUGAUCCAACACAUCAAGAUCUGCAGCUUUAUCAAAUGCAUUGAAGCACAUCUGUAGCAAAGAUAAUAAGAGAGGGACUAACAAUUAAGCCAUAUAGAAUAACCAAAUAGGCUUUAUGCCCUAUAGAAAGAAAGGAAAAAAUUUGUGAAAGGAUUGCCCUAUAGAAAGAAAAUCAAUGCAUCAGCUAAGACAUUUUUUUUUUUUGAAAAAAAGGGUGUCUGGCCCAGCUUGCACGCAUCUCAGCUAAGAGUAACUUAUUGUAUCAAGAAAGGUUUUAGACAAAAAAGAAACCAUCUAAAGCAAAACAUAGAUAUCAUUCACACUACAAACAUGGGUUAGUUAUGAUCAGCUAAAAAUUGGUUAGUUCACAAGGAAUAUGGACUUACCAUAACGCAUCUAAUGAGGAAGCAUGAAAAACAUAUUGUCGUUACAUAGCCAACCUACAGAAGCCAAAAUGUCGGAGAAGUCAAAAGACCUAAUUAGAAUGAAAAAUACCUAGAAACAAAAAAUACUAAUAAUAUACCUCCUGUAGCUUCUUGCGUCUCCCUCUUGAUUCUACUGGAAACCGCUGUAACAUAAGGAAAAGCCUGGAAGGAAGUGAAAGAAUAUCAAGCCAAAUAGUAAGGUGAUAUUGAAGGAUAAAUAUGAAUGACAUAAAAGUUGCAGGGACCCAAGUAUUCAAGCAUAAGAGUAAACAAGGUAGUCAAGUGUGAUAUAGCAAAGGUCAAUCCACAAACUAAACAAACAUGUGCUAUAUGCAGUACAGUAAGAACUUUUUUUGCAGUAUCUUAAUAUUUAAAUUGCUACUUUUAUUUUUUAACAGCAUGUUCAACAAUACUAUGCAUCUUUCUACGACCGUACCGAUGAACUAAGAUCAUGCUUGAGAAGACUUUAAACUUUCAUUAGGCAGGGCAAUAAAAGGUCACAUGAACUUUCACUAAAAGUAAGUGUAAUUGAAGAUAUUUUACUCUUUUAUAUGUUUGACAUCCAUUACUGCCGUGAUAUUGCUGCAUUCAUUCAAUCUAACACCUGCCAAUUUCUUUCCUAUGUAUUAGGAACUUCACUCUAGAGUACUCUUUAGAGAUGAUGGAAGACUUCAAUGGGGAAUCCUCCACUUUUCAGCUAGGAGGAUAAAGAUGAUUAAUAUAGCAGAUUCGAAUGCAACAAGGGUAAUGCAGAGGUUAAUGGUAGCAUUGUCAAACUAGUUGGUCAAGAAUGGGAUACUCCUCCACUCAUCUCUCCUCCUAAAGAGCUCUCCAGUCAUUUCUCGAAGGUUCCAAUUUUCUCCUCUCUUCUCUAAUUCACCAUAUUAGGGUAUGUUUUCUUUCAUUUUCCUUCCCCC